GACGAACGCUGGCGGCGUGCUUAACACAUGCAAGUCGAACGGUGAAGGGAUCAGCUUGCUGGUUCUGGAUGAGUGGCGAACGGGUGAGUAACACGUGAGUAACCUGCCCCCUUCUUCUGGAUAACCGCAUGAAAGUGUGGCUAAUACGGGAUAUUCUGGGUCUGUCGCAUGAUGGGUCUGGGAAAGAUAUUGUUUCGGUGGGGGAUGGGCUCGCGGCCUAUCAGCUUGUUGGUGGGGUGAUGGCCUACCAAGGCGGUGACGGGUAGCCGGCCUGAGAGGGUGGACGGUCACACUGGGACUGAGACACGGCCCAGACUCCUACGGGAGGCAGCAGUGGGGAAUAUUGCACAAUGGGCGCAAGCCUGAUGCAGCGACGCCGCGUGAGGGAUGGAGGCCUUCGGGGUGUAAACCUCUUUCGCCAGUGAAGCAGGCCUGCUCCUUGUGGGUGGGUUGACGGUAGCUGGAUAAGAAGCGCCGGCUAACUACGUG
rnacentral:rRNA from 1 species